ACAAUUCAAACAAGAAAACUAACGGCCUUAUUUAUGUAAAAAAAUGAACGAAAAACAAAUAUGUAACACAUAAACAAACGACAACCACUGAAUUACAGGCUCCUGACUUGGGACAGGCACAGACAUAAAUAAUGUGGCGGGGUUAAACAUGUUAGCGGGAUCCCAACCCUCCCCUAACCUUGGACAGUGGUAUAACAGUACAACAUAAGAACGAACUAUAAAAAUCAGUUGAAAAAGGCUUAACUCAUCAGAUGGACAAAAAUACAAGUGGACGUGGCCCGUUACUUAUACAUCCCGACACAAAAAGACACAAUGAACAGAUCUGAGAGUACUCACAGUUAUCUGACAGCUAGUUCAAAGCCACUAACAACUAAUAAAAAAAUCAUGCAACUAAGACUAAACUAUCAAUCCGUACACAUCUAACAUCCAAUGGAUUUAGUGUAAAGACGUCAUAAACAGCCAGAGAAAAACAUGACCUUGUGCAAUGCCAAGUUACAGGUAUCGACAGAUUGUAGAUCCAUGAAUAUGUAUAUACAUAUAACAUACUAGGAAUAUUUAGUUAGCUUUUAAUUUACUGAUAACAAAAUCAAUAUUUAUACCAAU
rnacentral:lncRNA from 1 species